UACGUAGGGUGCAAGCGUUGUCCGGAAUUAUUGGGCGUAAAGAGCUCGUAGGCGGUUUGUCGCGUCGAAUGUGAAAACCCGGGGCUCAACCCCGGGCCUGCAUUCGAUACGGGCAGACUAGAGUUCGGUAGGGGAGUCUGGAAUUCCUGGUGUAGCGGUGAAAUGCGCAGAUAUCAGGAGGAACACCGGUGGCGAAGGCGGCUCUCUAGUACGGUACUGACGCUGAGACGCGAAAGCGUGGGGAGCGAACAGG
rnacentral:rRNA from 1 species